UGGGGAAUAUUGCACAAUGGGGGAAACCCUGAUGCAGUGACGCCGCGUGCAGGAAGAAGGUUUUCGGAUUGUAAACUGCUUUAGACAGGGAAGAAAAAAGACAGUACCUGUAGAAUAAGCUCCGGCUAACUACGUGCCAGCAGCCGCGGUAAUACGUAGGGAGCAAGCGUUAUCCGGAUUUAUUGGGUGUAAAGGGUGCGUAGACGGGAAGACAAGUUAGUUGUGAAAUCCCUCGGCUUAACUGAGGAACUGCAACUAAAACUAUCAUUCUUGAGUGCUGGAGAGGAAAGUGGAAUUCCUAGUGUAGCGGUGAAAUGCGUAGAUAUUAGGAGGAACACCAGUGGCGAAGGCGACUUUCUGGACAGUAACUGACGUUGAGGCACGAAAGUGUGGGGAGCAAACAGGAUUAGAUACCC
rnacentral:rRNA from 1 species